rnacentral:rRNA from 1 species
CAGCGCCACGAGUGGGGAUCGCUUUUAUUGGGCCUAAAGCGUCCGUAGCCGGUUUUGUAAAUCUCUUGUGAAAUCGUCCAGCUCAACUGGACGGCGUGCAGGAGACACUGCAGAACUAGGGACCGGGAGGGGUCAGAGGUAUUCUGGGGGGAGCGGUAAAAUGCUAUAAUCCCCGGAGGACCACCGGUGGCGAAGGCGUCUGACCAGAACGGAUCCGACGGUGAGGGACGAAAGCCAGGGGAGCAAUCCGGAUUAGAUACCCGAGUAGUCC